rnacentral:rRNA from 1 species
GACGAACGCUGGCGGAGUGCUUAACACAUGCAAGUCGAACGAAGUGGCGAACGGGUGAGUAACGCGUAAUCAACCUGCCCUUCAGAGGGGGACAACAGUUGGCAACGAAUGCUAAUACCGCAUACUGAAGGAGGGGAUUGCGUUUGAUUAGGUAGUUGGAGGGGUAAGGGCCCACCAAGGCGAGGCUCAGUAGCUGGUCUGGGCGGAUGAACGGCCACACUGGGACUGAGACACGGCCCAGACUCCUACGGGAUGCAGCAGUGGGGAAUCUUCCGCAAUGAACGAAAGUCUGACGGAGCAACGCCGCGUGAGUGAUGACGGCCUUCGGGUUGUAAAGCUCUGUUAAUCGGGACGCGGUACCGGAAUAGAAAGCCACGGCUAACUACAUGCCAGCAGCCGCGGUAAUUC